UUUAAAAAUACCUGAACUAUUAAUCAUUUCUUUUAAAAACACAAACUAUUAAUUACUCUCUUUUUAAUACUUAAACAAUUAAAUUUGAUAAUUUUACAAAACAAUAAUUUCAGAAACCCAGUUUUACCCUCAGUUAUUUCUUAGAUUUAAUUUAUUUUUAUUACAAAAACAAAAAUAUAAUUUAUUAACCUAAAAAAAUUUAUCUUCCUUCUCCGACCUUUUCUCUGCAAUUUAAUAUCAUGUCCCUGCAAAUGAAAUUCUCAACCAUAUGAAUCAAUGUGUUGAUCGAUCCAAGAAAUCAAGAAUAUGUUCAAUAGAAGCAAACUAUUUUUGUAAUCGAUCCAAGCAGUGACCAAUUUCUUAGAUUUUAGAUUCAUUUAAGGCUAGAUCGAUGGAUCUGAGGUCGAGAUUGAGAUUAAGUUAUUCAUUUGAUGAAUUUAAAUAGGGAUCCAAUUUGGUGUCAAAUUUGAUGAAUUUGGUUCAGAUAAUUGAAAUAUGGAUCCAAUUUGGUGUCAAAUUUGAUGAAUUUAAUCUUCAACUCCAUGAGAGAAAUUGACUAAGAUGUCGUUGUCGUGAGAGAGGAAGAAAGAAAGGUGUGUCACCGAAAGAAUCUUGGUAUACAUCUCUGAUAAUCUAAAUUUGCUGGAAAGAUGAAAUCGAGAAUUGUUAAAGUCUGCAGAAGGUCCAUCGACAAGGAACUCACCAGAAAAUGCAGAGAUUAGAUCGGAGUCCAACGGGGUUGAUUUCAUGAUCAGGAAAAGGAGUCAUUGACAAAAAAUCUUGAAGAUAAUCGCAGUCCAAGAUGAAUAUAGCUUUUGAAGCCGGCGGAGGAGAAAAUUGCAUUGAGUCUCGUCAAGAUGUUCGAAUGCGGAGAGUCGGAGACGGUUUGAAUCGAAGGCGGAGAGUUGGAGACGGUCUCGUCAAGAAUUUUUUUCAGGUUUUUAAAUUAUAGUUUUGUUUUUCUAAUAAAAUAAAUUGAAUCUAAGAACUAAUUGAG
rnacentral:lncRNA from 1 species